AUGGCGCUCCGCAGGCAGCGGACGUUGAGGUUUGAUGAGGAGAUGGGGAUGCCGCCGCCACCAAUUCAACAGGAACAGGCAGCAUUACCUGCUAGUAUUGCUGUCGCGAGCUCAGGGGACAUACCAAUUCAACAGAAACAGGCAGCAUUCCCUGCUAUUAAACUUGGUGUCGCGAGCUCAGGGAACAACAAGAUUUUUGAUCCAUCAAGUGGCUUCAUCUUGACAUGGAACUGCAUUUUCCUUUUUUCAUGCUUGCUUGCUCUAUUCGUAGACCCCCUGUACUUCUACGUGCCAAAAAUCGUCUACGGCACCCCCUAUUCAUGUGUCGGGACAGACAGGCAUUUAACCAUCAUCGUUACAUUAUUACGAUCAAUUACCGAUCUUUUAUAUGCGAUUCACAUCAUACUAAAGUUCAGAACUGCAAUUUUUAAGAAGAGCUCAACCUUGGGGAUUUCUAAAGGAGGAUAUUUCGUCAGAGACCCUAGAGAGAUUGCAUGGAAAUAUUUGAGAUCUGACUUUGCAAUUGAUGUGGUGGCUGCACUGCCUUUGCCACAGAUCAUAGUCUGGUAUUUGAUACCAGCUAUCAAAUAUUCCAACGCUGAGCCCAGCGAUAACAUUCUGGUGCUUAUAGUUCUUGCUCAGUAUCUUCCAAGACUAUAUCUCAUAUUCCCUUUAACUUAUGAAAUUAUCAAAGCUACUGAAGUUGUUGCAAAGACUGCCUGGCAAGGGGCUGUAUACAGCCUGUUGCUUUACAUGAUAACUAGUCAUGUACUAGGUGCAGUAUGGUACUUGCUAUCCGUUGAUCGCCAAACAGCCUGCUGGAAAAUGAGUUGCAGGAAUGAAACUGGGUGUGAUAUUAGGUACCUAGAUUGUGAUAUGGCACCAAAUCAGAAAUGGGCUAGUACGACUGAUAUCUUCCAUAGCUGCAAUGCUAGUGAUACCAGCAUCACAUUCGACUAUGGCAUGUUCCUGCCUGCACUGUCAAAUCUAGUGCCUGCUCAGGGUUUCUUGAUAAAGCUCUUCUAUUCCCUUUGGUGGGGUUUACAGAAUCUAAGUUGCUAUGGCCAGACUAUUUCUGUUAGCACCUACAUUGGUGAGACACUGUUCGGUAUAUUCUUGGCAGUAUUCAGUCUUGCCUUGGAAUCAUCCGGCCUGGUCUUGUGUGUGUAUUUGAUUGGAAAUGUGCAGACCUCCCUCCAAUCUAUCACUGUGAGGGAGGAUGAGUGGAGAUUAAAGCAAAGAGAUACGGAGGAGUGGAUGACAUACCGUCAACUUCCUGGUGAACUGCGGGAAAGAGUUAGAAAAUUUAUUCAGUACAAGUGGCUUUUAACUCGAGGUGUGGAUGAAGAGUAUAUAUUUCAGGUUCUACCAGAGUAUCUGCGACGUGAAAUAAGACGCCACCUUUGCUUGGAUCUUGUUCGCCGGGUUCCGUUUUUCUGCCAGAUGGAUGACCAACUUCUAGAUGCCAUCUUUGCGCGUCUUGUAUCAUCACCGUGCACAAAGAGCACAUACAUUAUCCGUGAGGGUGAUCCGGUGACUGAGAUGCUCUUCAUCAUCCGUGGGAAACUGGAAAGGGCCACAACAGAUGGUGGUCGCACAGGCUUCUUCAAUUCAGUUCUCCUGAAAUCUGGUGAUUGCUGCGGCGAGGAACUUCUUGGAUGGACUUUUAUCCCGGAACCUACCAGUUUGCCAACAGCCACCUGCACAGUGAAGGCGCUCACAGACGUGGAGGCCUUUUCACUUCAGGCUGAGGAUCUCAGGUUCGUGGCCAGCCAAUUCGGGCGGUGGCAUAGCAAGAAGCUGCAGCACACUUUCCGCUACUACUCACCCCAUUGGAGAACAUGGAGUGCGUGCUUCAUCCAAGCUGCUUUGCGGCGGUACAUGAGGAGAAAGAUGGAGAAGGGCCUGAGAUCAGAAGACUCGAAUGGUGAAGAAGGGCCUCCACGGAAGAAUAAUCUCUAA
rnacentral:rRNA from 1 species